AUUAGAUUCUUAUAGUCUAAUUUUGUUCUUCUUAUGUACUUAGUCCAAGCUUGUGCAACUGUACCUAAAUAUACAAUUGGUACUAAGAGAGGUCGGGGUGUGUGCAAAAACAAAUAUUUUUGAAGUACUAGUAGUUUAUUUUUGUCAAAAAAUAAAAGUUACAAUAGAAUUUAAAGGACAAUCCCUGAAAUAAAACAAGGUUUUCUUUGUUUUGUUUUUUCUCUAAUCUGAACAGAUGAGUCUAAACAGACUCUGUCGUCAGCAGCAGAACAUUCACCUCCUCCUCACUUUUUCAGAGGUGACAAAACUGCGUGGAAAUGAGAAGCUAACGAGCGCCUGAUCCUCUUUUUCACACAUCUGCAUCUGUGAAGCUUCACGUGUUCUAGUUUUCAUUUCCACUUGAAUCCUGUGUUCCUCGUUCUUAUUAUUUCAUUUUCCUUUGUUGUGCUUGAUUUUAAAAAUAUACUGCAGACUCUGGGGAAGCCACGAGAUUUUUCUUAUUUAUUUAUUUAUUUUGUCUUGCUGCGUAUCUUGUUAUAUCCUGUGCACGACCACAAACACAAUGAACUCUUUUUUGUUUUGUUGUACUGCUGUAUUUCAAAAGGCACAGUGUUCACAUAAUGUUCUUGAGGUAAAAUUAGAAGCAGACUGAUUAGGACUGCUAUUGCUUAUCCCACCUUAAAAAGAGGAAAAAAACAUGAACUGAAAGAGAACAAAAGGAGAAGUUCAAGUUUUGUCUUUUCAGCAGCUGGAACUCUGUGUCUGCACAAAAUGCUGCAUCACAGAUUUUGGUUGUCUGGUCACAGGUUUUAUAAAAGUAUAAAAAUGCAACUAUGUUGUAGUGAAAUAUAUAUAUAUGUAUAUAUUUACAGCAUUAUCCACAGAAAAACUGUGCAAUACUUUUUACCCACUGCAUUAAUUAUCUCUUUAUCCUAUUCACGAUUAAAUCUUGUCCAAAAAAAAAAAAAAAAA